rnacentral:pre_miRNA from 13 species
GACCACACGGGAUAAUUGAUUAUCCCGUGCAGUCGAGUUAAGAGGACCGCAUGGGAUAAUCUAUUAUCCCGCAUGGGA